CGAAGCCUAAGUUGUAUUAACUAUUAGUUAAUGCAAGAUCGAUUAUGUCCGACUAAAGUUUCUAGGUAGAAUAAUGAUGAUGACAAUUUUUCUACCUAUAUGUCUUGACCAAGUCUCGUGCCAGCAGUCGCGGUAAUACGUGGAAGACUAGUGUUAUUCAUCUUUAAUAGGUUUAAAGGGUACCUAGACGGUAUUUCUAGCCCAAAAUAGGGUACGGAUUUACUAGAGUUUUAUGUGAGGAGGGGAGUACUCGUGGAGUAGAGAUGAAAUUUUGUGAUACUACGAGGAAACUGGUGGCGGCGAAAGCAACCUUCUAUGUAUAAACUGACGUUGAGGGACGAAGGCUUGGGUAGCAAAUAGGAUUAGAUACCCUAGUAGUCCAAGCAGACAAUUCUGAAUGCCAUAGAUUAGAUUAUUUUUGGUCUAUAAAUGAAAGUGUAAGCAUUCCACCUUAAGAGUAAUGUGGCAACACAGGAACUGAAAUCAUUAGACCGUUUCUGAAACCAGUAGUGAAGUAUGUUAUUUAAUUUGUUGGUCCUCAAAAAACCUUACCACAACUUGAAUAUUAUUCAGUUAAUACAAGCGUUGCACGGCUGUCUUCAGUUAAUGUCGUGAGAUUUUGGUUAACUCCAUUAAUUAACGUAAACCCUUACUUUAUUUAUUUUUUUUAUAAAGUAGAUCGCCACUAUAUUGGAUAUGAUAAGAGGGACUAAGACAAGUCAUCAUGGCCUGAAUAUUGUGGGCUA
rnacentral:rRNA from 1 species